GAAGUCAAUUAUUACUUAAUAUACACAUGCAAGUAUCAGCCCCCCUGUGAAAACGCCCUUCAACCCCCAUUAGGGACAAGGAGCCGGUAUCAGGCACUUUCUAUGCCCAAGACACCUAGCUUUGCCACACCCACAAGGGAUCUCAGCAGUGAUUAACAUUGAACAUUAGCGCAAGCUUGAUUCAGUUAAAGUAAAACAGAGCCGGCCAAUCUGGUGCCAGCCGCCGCGGUUACACCAUGUGGCUCAAAUUGACCCCCUUCCGGCGUAAAGCGUGAUUAAAGUUAUCUUUUAAUAGAGUUAAAUUAAAACUAAGCUGUGACACGCUUGUUUUUAAGAAAUUCCUAAACGAAAGUUACUCUAAUUUAAUCAACUUGAAU
rnacentral:rRNA from 1 species